GGCGCGAUGGCGGAGUGGUUAACGCGAGAGACUAGAAAUCUCUUCUCUUCGGAGGCGUAGGUUCGAAUCCUGCUCGCGUCG
rnacentral:tRNA from 3 species